AAAACACUAUUCAACUUCUCCCUCUUAAAACAUACGAACAGAAAAUUAAAGAAGUUCUCUCUGUAACAAUUAACAAAAUUAAUAAGCCCUAAUUUGCAUCUCUCAUAUUAGUACUCUUCUCGAUUCACUGUGACUUUCGCAAUUCUCUCAUCGAUUCACUGUGACGUGCUUAAAUUGAUACUCGAUUUCCUUCGCACCAAGAAGGUGCUGUCAAAAGUAUUUAAAGGUGCCAGAACCACUAGUUUAUGCCAAAACCUUCAACAACAACAACUCAGGGCUACAACAUCUCCAAUUUCAAAUGAAUGACCACUGCCUUAUGCUCUCCAAGAGUUUCUUGAUUUAGGUGAAGCGGUAGGAACUAAAAGUGGAGGACUUUAUUGUUUUUUGCCCUAUGAUGGAAGUUGGCGAUUUGAACUGAAAGUUGAGGACUUAAACAAUAGAAACAGGAGUUACUUUAUUUUUUUGCUAUGUAUUCAAAUCUUAUGGAAAAAUUGAUAUCAUACUUAGCUCGAUCUGGAUGGUGACUAUGUUUUUUGUGAAACAAAUAUUGAAACUAAUAUUAUGGGUUGUUAACUUAGUUUUCUGGUCUCUAAUUAUAUCAUGUUUUUGUAUUGAGAUUCUUGAUAGCAAUUUGAUAUAAAUUGAUGAAAUUUAUUAUUUUGUGAUA